GGGGAUUUAGCUCAGUGGUAUAAGCACCUGCCUUGCAAGCAGGCGUGAAUUCGAUCCCCA
rnacentral:tRNA from 1 species